CAAUGGCGAGAACCGGAGCAGCAGCAGCAGCCAGCAGAUCCUCCAUCGCCGCGAGCGCCCCGCGCCGGCACGACUCCUGGCCCUUCGCCGCGGCGGCAGGUGGUGAUGCGGUCGGUCUAAGGGGAGAGAAAUUAAGAGAGAGAGAGAGAAGGCAGAGAGCGAGGAGGAAGGAAUGAGGAGAGGAUGACAUGGGGUCCCACGUGUCAGGAGCCCACAUUUUUUUUUGUGUGGAUGACAAAUAGGUCCCACAUCAUGUUUUUAACUCUAAUGCAACCUAAGCAUCACGUCAUCGUCACAAACCAAGUCAACACUGCCACGUAGACGUCACGUCAGCGAAACCGCUCUUCAAAACCGUCGAGGGAGUUAAAUUGCACCGGUUUUAAGAGUUGGAGGGUAAGAUAUCCGGUUUUGUGGUUUAGAUGACAGAUUAUAUUCUGAGGGUCACCAAGUGAACUUAUUCCCUCGCGUGCGCCGCGGCGGCGGCAGCAGCAGAAGCAGCUCGGAUCCCUCCUGCAAUGGCGACCGCGUGCCCGCCGCUGUCGCUGCAGCCGGCCUACCUCCCGGGGAGGUCCGCACGCGCGCGCCGCCCGCUGCCCGCCGUCCGCUGCAGCGCCGUCGGAGAGGUUAUGGCGGAAACGGCGGCGGUCGGGACGGUGGAGGAGCCGCUGCUGGUGAGCGCGAUCGAAGGGGAGGAAGGUCGAGAGACCGCCGGUCUGGCUUAUGAGGCAGGCCGGGAGGUACAUGAAGAGCUAUCAAUUGCUCUGCGAGCGACAUCCUUCAUUCUGUGAAAGAUCAGAACUUGUUGACCUUGUUGUUGAAAUCUCUCUACAACCAUGGAAGGUUUUCACGCCCGAUGGAGCUAUCCUGUUCUCAGAUAUCCUUACACCGCUUCCUCGGAUGAACAUACCUUUUGACAUUGUGAAAGGAAAAGGUUCAGUGAUAUUUGAUCCCUUGAGAACAGCAGCUGCUGUGAAUGAGGUCAGAGAAUUUGUUCCAGAGGAGUGGGUCCCGUAUGUUGGGCAGGCUUUAAACAUUUUGCGAGAAGAGAUUAACAAUGAAGCUACCGUGUUGAGUUUUGUUGGAGCUCCCUUUACGUUGGCAUCCUAUUGUGUUGAAGGAGGUUCAUCAAAGAAUUUUUCAAAGAUUAAAAAAAUGGCCUUGUCGGAACCAGAGGUAUUGGACACAAUCAUAUUGCUGAUAAAAGAGUACAUGAAUUCUCUUUCACUAUAGACAACUGUCUGUUGCUUCCUGACUGCUGCUUGUGUUCUUUUAUAUUGCCCUUCUUCCAAUCGGAUGGGCUACAGUGGGCUAUUAGCUUCAGCCCAAGGCCCAGCAACAUGAGUUACUACCAAUUAAUUACCAAGCUGACAAUGGAGCACAAAGCUGUCCAAAUUUUUGACUCAUGGGCUACAAAACUCUGCCCGGUUGAUUUUGAGUAAUUUAGCUUGCCUUAUCUGAAGCAGAUUGUGGAUAGUGUCAAAGAAACACAUCCUGAAUUGCCUCUGAUAUUAUAUGCAAGUGGAUCUGGUGGACUGCUGGAGAGGCUUCCAUUGACAGGUGUUGAUGUUGUUAGCUUGGGGACGGUUGAUAUGGCUGAGGGGAGGAAAAGAUUGGGAUCUAACAUAGCGGUUCAAGGGAAUGUUGACCCUGGCGUUCUUUUUGGGUCCAAAGAGUUCAUAAGCAACCGGAUUUUUCACACUGCAGAAAGCUGGUAAUAGUGGGCAUGUAUUGAACCUUGGCCAUGGCACUAAGGUGGGCAAAAGGGAUCAGAUACUGAAACACCUAGGCUAUUCGAUGCAUUCCUUUCUCCCUAGUCUCCACCGGCAAAAGUAGUAGAUUCUGCUGCUUGAGGAUAGAUGAAGGAAGCCAUAUCUAGCGUAGAAUACCUGAAGAGCACAUCUUUUGUGAUUUCUGUGUUUUGCUAUCAUUUUUUUUAUCUUAUUGUUAGUCUUGUAAGGUUAUCACUUGAGGUGUAAGAAAGUGCCUACUUGUUUAUAUCAAGUAUAUAUUCUAAUUUCUAAUCUUAUCUGUAACCAUGAGAUUAUAAAUUUUUAUUGGCGAGAAAUAAAUAUUAUAUUUGAAAA